CGGCCGCAGUACCCUGACUGUGCAAAGGUAGCAUAAUAAAUUGAUUUUUAAUUGGAGUCUAGAAUGAAUGAAAAAACGGAAAUUAACUGUCUUACAAUAAAAGUUUUUAAAUUACUUAAAAGGUGAAAAUACCUUUAGAAAGAAAAAAGACGAGAAGACCCUAAGAAUUUUAAGAAAUAGAUUAAGUCUAAAUCUAAACCUUUUUACUGGGGCGGUAAAGGAUUAAAAAUAAUAAACAUCCUAAAUUUUUUUAUCAAAUUUUAUUUAACUUAAAUAAAUUACCUUAGGGAUAACAGCAUAAUUUAUUAUUAAGUUUGUGACCUCGAUGUUGGACUAGGAAAUUUUAAGACUAGCUGUCAUAAAAAAUGGUUCUGUUCGAACUUUUUUCUCCUAC
rnacentral:rRNA from 1 species